rnacentral:rRNA from 1 species
AACGAACGCUGGCGGCAGGCCUAACACAUGCAAGUCGAGCGAGACCUUCGGGUCUAGCGGCGGACGGGUGAGUAACGCGUGGGAACGUGCCCUUUGCUACGGAAUAGCCCCGGGAAACUGGGAGUAAUACCGUAUGUGCCCUUCGGGGGAAAGAUUUAUCGGCAAAGGAUCGGCCCGCGUUGGAUUAGGUAGUUGGUGGGGUAAUGGCCUACCAAGCCGACGAUCCAUAGCUGGUUUGAGAGGAUGAUCAGCCACACUGGGACUGAGACACGGCCCAGACUCCUACGGGAGGCAGCAGUGGGGAAUCUUAGACAAUGGGGGAAACCCUGAUCUAGCCAUGCCGCGUGAGCGAUGAAGGCCUUAGGGUUGUAAAGCUCUUUCAGGUGGGAAGAUAAUGACGGUACCACCAGAAGAAGCCCCGGCUAACUCCGUGCCAGCCGCCGCCGUAAAAC